rnacentral:rRNA from 1 species
GCGCCCUAGGAGGGGCCUGCGGCCGAUUAGCUUGUUGGUGGGGUAACGGCCUACCAAGGCGAUGAUCGGUAGCUGGUCUGAGAGGACGGCCAGCCACAGGGGGACUGAGACACGGCCCCC